UGGCGGCGGCGGCAUCCUCGACGUGGCCACCGGCCGGCCGGCCACGCCCUUCGACUUCGGCGCCGGCCACGUGGAUCCACCCAAGGCUCUGGACCCCGGCCUCGUCUACGACCUCACCGUUGACGACUACCUCGACUUCCUCUGCGCCCUGAACUACACGACCCUCCAGAUCGCGAGCGUCUCCAGGCGAUCCAACUUCAACUGCGACAACAAGAAGGCCUACGCGGUGUCGGACCUCAACUACCCCUCCUUCGCGGUGGCGUUCGCGACGGCGAGCGGCGCGGGCGGCGGAGGUUCGGCCGCGACGACGGUGAAGCACACCAGGACGCUGACCAACGUCGGGGCGCCGGGCACAUACAAGGCGACGGUGUCGGCGCCGCAG
rnacentral:lncRNA from 1 species